UAAAGACCAGUAUGAAUGGCUAAAUGAAUAUUUAACUGUCUCCUUUAACCAAUCAGUGAAACUGAUUUUUCAGUACAAAAGCUGAAAUAAAAACAUAAGACGAGAAGACCCUGUGGAGCUUAAAAUUUCUAUCAAGCAUUUACACAAAACAUGCCUGUGAAAAAAAUUUUUAAGUUGGGGCGACUUUGGAGCAAAGCACAACCUCCAAGAAAAGGUAUUACCUAAACAAGGCACACAAGCCAAAACCACAUGACCCAGUAUUACUGAUCAACGAACCAAGUUACCCCAGGGAUAACAGCGCUAUCUUCUUCAAGAGUUCAUAUCGACAAGAAGGUUUACGACCUCGAUGUUGGAUCAGGACACCCAAAUGGUGCAGCCGCUAUUAAAGGUUCGUUUGUUCAACGAUUAAUAGU
rnacentral:rRNA from 1 species